AGCAGGCGCGUAAAUUGCCCGAAUCCUGACACAGGGAGGUAGUGACAAGAAAUAACGAUACAGGGCUACAUCUAGUCUUGUAAUUGGAAUGAGUACAAUUUACAUCACUUAACGAUGAUCAAUUGGAGGGCAAGUCUGGUGCCAGCAGCCGCGGUAAUUCCAGCUCCAAUAGCGUAUAUUAAAGUUGUUGCAGUUAGAACGCUCGUAGUCGGAUUUCGGGGCGUUCCGACCGGUCUGCCGAUGGGUAUGCACUGGCCGGAGUGUCCUUUUUGCCGGAGACCGUGCCUACUCUUGACUGAGCGGGGGCGGGAGACGGCACUUUACUUUGAAAAAAUCAGAGCGUUUCAAGCAGGCAGCUCGCUCUUGCAUGGAUUAGCAUGGGAUAAUGAAAUAGGACUUUGGUGCUAUUUUGUUGGUUUCGAACACCGAAGUAAUGAUGAGAAGGGACAGUCAGGGGCACUCGUAUUCCGCAGAGAGAGGUGAAAUUCUCAGACCCGCGGAAGACGAACCACUGCGAAAGCAUUUGCCAGGGAUGUUUUCACUGAUCAAGAACGAAAGUUAGGGGAUCGAAGAUGAUCAGAUACCGUCGUAGUCUUAACCAUAAACCAUGCCGACUAGGGAUUGGAGGAUGUUCACUGAUUGACUCCUUCAGCACCUUACGGGAAACUAAAGUCUUUGGGUUCCGGGGGGAGUAUGGUCGCAAGGCUGAAACUUAAAGGAAUUGACGGAAGGGCACCACCGGGUGUGGAGCCUGCGGCUUAAUUUGACUCAACACGGGGAAACUUACCAGGUCCAGACAUUGUGAGGAUUGACAGAUUGAGAGCUCUUCCAUGAUUUAAUGGGUGGUGGUGCAUGGCCGUUCUUAGUUGGUGGAGUGAUUUGUCUGGUUAAUUCCGUUAACGAACGAGACCUUAGCCUGCUAAAUAGUGACGCGAACUCUUUGUUGGCGGUCCACUUCUUAGAGGGACAACUUGUCUUCAACAAGUGGAAGUUUGAGGCAAUAUCAGGUCUGCGAUGCCCUUAGAUGUUCUGGGCCGCACGCGCGCUACACUGAUGCACUCAACGAGUCUCCACCUUGACCGAGAGGUCCGGGAAACCUUCGAACUCGCAUCGUGAUGGGGAUAGAUUAUUGCAACUAUUAAUCUUCAACGGGGAAUACCUAGUAGGCAGAUGUCAUCAGCGCGCGUUGA
rnacentral:rRNA from 1 species